CGCGUAGGCGGGGAGGUAAGUCGGGUGUGAAAUCCCUCGGCCCAACCGAGGAACUGCGCCCGAGACUGCUUCUCUUGAGUCCCGGAGGGGAAGAUGGAAUUCCCGGUGUAGCGGUGAAAUGUGUAGAGAUCGGGAGGAACACCGGUGGCGAAGGCGGUCUUCUGGACGGUGACUGACGCUGAGGCGCGAAAGCGUGGGGAGCAAACG
rnacentral:rRNA from 1 species